AAAUAUACCCAUACUCUUUCCUUAUGAGUAUAAUAAUUAAUAUCACUUGAACAAUCUGUUGAUAGCACAGGGCCUGAUGACUUCUGGUGCAACUCUGUGAUAAUGGUUAAAUUCAAGGCCUUCCAGCCCUCAUGUUUGCAGCAAAUGGCCUCUUUUACCUCAUUCCAAUCCUUUUUUUUUUUUUUUUUUUUUCCUCUUAGUAAGCAGAGGAAUCCCCUUUUCACCCUGUUUUAAUUACAGGAGCCACGUGACCCUUCCUGGAGCAGCUGCCACACAACCAAAAUACAUACACCAGGCCAGCAGGCUCACAGAAAAUAUGUAAGUAGGUUACACGGGGGCGGGGGAGACCAUUAAACACAGCAGGACCCACUUAACUGAGUACCUGUUAGAGGAGCAGAAAGUGGUGGAGGAUGAAUGAUGGGGUGGCUCUCCUUCCUCCAGCAAGCCCCAGCGAGACUCAAGCUGGGUGGAGAGGGAGGCUGGGAGAGGAGCAGAGGGGUUUGAUGUGUGCUGAGGCUGGCGUUGCUAAUGAUUGCUUCCCAAAUAAAUAAAUCAGAGAGCUCAAAUAUGCCCCCGCAGCUAUUGCUCUGGGCUGGUAGCUGGAGGGCUUGUGUAGCUAAUGCGUUCUCCAAUGCUGGUGGAAAGCCUUCACUCUGCUCCAGGAGAGGAGCCUGCAGAGGGGUGCCAAGCCUGGCUGGCUCCCCCAGCCCUCAGAAUGGUGGGGGAGGACACCAGUCCACACACUGCUCCUGCAGGAGUGUCCCCAGAGCAGGGAACAGCAGCAGCAAGUUGCCCAGGACCGUUUAGAAAGAAUUCAGACACACCCAAAGAGUCCCACGGUGUUAGAUCCAGCCAGGAAAUUGAUUUUCUUUCUUCAAAAUGAUUCUGUGGAAAAACGUGAAGUGCAACCAGGAGUUCAAAGUCUUGUGGGAUAAGAGGCUAAAAGUCUGCUUGGCAAAGUGUAAACAAGUAAAUGAAAAGGAACUGCUGCUCCACCAGUUAUCACGAGGCUUGAGGCUUGAAUCCAACCUUUUACUCACCUAUCUCAUUGUGGCACAUGCAAAUCACAGGGAAAUCUGAAUUAACCAGCAAAACAUCACAAACCUGGGACUUGAGCUUGGCUUUAGGAGGUAGGAUUAGAAAGCAGUUGGGUGGCCACCUUGCCUGUGGGCUUCUUCAUCUUCGGCAAACAUCGUUUGCUCUGCACGUGUUCCAAGCCAGUGGUGUCAUGUUUUUCCUCGCAGACAGAUCAUAACCUCAGGCAGAGCGCAACUUCAUACGUGGGGACAUUUAGGAAAAAAUUGGCAUACUCUUCCAUCAAGCAACAGUUAAAAUCUGCAAAGGGAUUAGCUGCCAUACACUCUGGUGCUUGCUGACAGAUGUCCUGAAAAUCUGGAAACACGUCGAUCUAUCUUUGCAUAGGGUUUUUUUUUGUUUUGUUUUGUUUUGUUUUGUUUUUUUGCUUCCCCCUCUUCCUCUCUCUCCUCAUCCCUCUGCCCGGGGUACAAAUGGGAAUUCCUUUCACCAGCAGCCUGGGAACUGCCUCAGUGCCAUCCAUGGAGCAGCGAGCUGGUCCCAGGGGGCAAUCUCAGCUGCACUAGACCCAGAUACUCAGCCUGGCUGCGGUUGCCAGCUUUCCUGCGAUGGCAGUACCGCUGCUUUGUACCAGGGAAGUUAGGGUUUUAUCUCUGUUCCAACUGCAACCUCUCAGAUCGUUUUAAAGGAGCUUAAAUGUUGGCCAUUAAAUAUAAAUAUCUUCUUUUUCCUCUGGGUGAAACCAGCGUGCAAAACUUUGCAGUGUAAAUAAGGGCUGGAGAAAAUGUUUUUAGAAUUGUUUCAGCUCAGCUAAAUGGCCGUGGCCACUUGUCCCCUCCAUGCCCCUGAGCUGUAGGUGUGUCUCCUCUCCCUUUCAGCAAUGUGGCAGAGGAGGUUUGACUGGAUCAUGACAUCCCCCGUGCACAUCUUCAGGCCAAAGGACCCUGAUUUCUGUGGAUUUUCUUGCAUGGUCUUGGACAAAUCACAUAGGACGUUGUUAAAAAGUGUGGGGUUUGUUUGUUUGUUUGUUUUCUGCAUGAUUUGAUUUCUGAUUGCUCAAUCUGCAGCUCUGAGGUGGCCUCUAAGAGGAGACAGAUGUGUGUGCGGGCACAACCUUCUCUGAGUGAUGUUCUUUUAAACCAUCCAUCUCUGCUCGGAGGCAGUCCCUCACAGCAGGUCAAUCCUGCAGCUGUAGUUUAACCUCCCUUCAUCUCUUUCCCCAUAUCUGCUUUCCUUCUGUGCAGGCAGGAGAUCACUCUUCCUGACUUGAGGAGGAGUGGGGAGCCUCCAGCCUCACCAAAAAUAAGUCUGGGGCCUGCUUGAGCCCAGUCCCCUGGCUGCUGUGCUGUGUUGCCACUACUCUUGCCGCACACUGAGUGAGCAGAGCACCUGGAGUCAGGGUGUGGAUGUCCCUUUGCUUCCCCAGGGCAAAAGAUACAACUCCCCAUCACAGCUGCUGCAUUACAACAGCUCCUGGCAGUUCGGAGGAAAUCCACCCUCACUUCCCUGUCCGCACAGCAGCCGCCCAUCUCGCUAGGGCUGUGGACACCCUGGGGGCUGCUGGUGCUAGAAGAGGCAGGGUGGGUGGGAGCACUGCCCGUGGUCACCCUGCCUGGGCUAUUGCAGCACCCUGCUGCCAGCGAGCAAGCACGUGGUGAGGCCUCAACACACGGCCUCUUCAGGGGAAGGUGCUGCUCAAUGGCCCGAUUGUGCUGGGAGCACGAGGCAGCCCGGGCCUGCCUUCCUGAGAGCUUCCUCGUGGCCGCCGCGUGCUUGAAAGGCGCGUCUGUCAGACCACCAUCUCCUUCCUCCUCCCUCGGGCACAGGAACAAACCCAGGGACAGACGGACGGACGCCCCCAGGGAGUAGGAGCCCCACCAGCAGCCAGAAAUGCCUGGCUGAACCCAAGCGCUGACUCGGUUUCCCCACUGACGCAGGCUUGGGGAGGAUGUUUUCCUCCGAAGUUGGGGAGUGUUUGCAACGUCCUCUGAGGAGGAGCGCCCUGGUGAACACUAAGCUAUUUUUAUUAUUGGGGUCAGGCGGGAGAACAAGCGCAAAGGUGAUGAGGCUUUUUAAACGCAGGUUCCCAUUAAUAGUCUUUAGCACACGCAGUUCUUGUUAUAAUCUAAUUUGACUGGAAUUGGAUUAAUCUUAUAAUGCUAUAAUGUCAUUUCCAUGGUCUUUUUAUAUUUUUAUUGUUACUGUGCAUUAAUGCAAUACUCUGCGAGAGCUCUUUGAAGAGGAUGUGAAUGUUUAGUGAAUCUCCGAUAACAUUUUUGCAGGGCAUUUUUUGUGCUUCUGUUAGGCUCCUACGUUGUGCAGUCACACGUACUGUAAAAACUAAGAACGCACCCAAAUUCACCUCAAAUUGUCUUGCAACAGGCUCUGCUGGUGAAAGCAAUGUAUUCAGAGCAAGGAAAGCAGGGCUCUGCUCCCAGCUUUUCCCUGAACUGCUCUGGGAGCUCACCUGAAUCAUGCUAGUGUUUCCAGCCUGAGAUGGAAAUAAUUUGUCUAGACAGGAACAGAAUGGGUCCCUGGUCUAUAUCCAUUUCCAUCUAGAAAACCCUGCUGGUAUCACCAAGCUUUAAUAUUUCCUUCUCAUUCAGUGUAUCCUGAGCAAAUGUUUUUUCCCCAUCCUGUGCCCUGUAUUUCUUAGUUCACUUUUUUUUUUUUUCCCCUGUUGCUUUUAUUUAUUUCUCUAGUUAUACAUCGUUUGAAGCAUUAAAGAUCUUUAUCCUGCAUACAUUUAGAAAUGCUGAAGGUUUUCUUCAAAUUAGCCCCCCAGUGCUUGCUCUAAAUACUCGUGGGCUUGUUCAUGAGGCCUUAUAAUAGGAGACUGCACGCCAACAAUACUAAGCAAGCUCAGUGAUAUCACACUGCGUGACGUUUCAGCCCCAAAAUCACCUAAGAGAGAAGGCAAAUAGACUGGUGUUUUCCAUCAACUCUUAUCAUCACCUCUGUUCUUUUUCCAAGUCUCACUUGAAGGCAGUCUAGAUGUAAUUAAAGCUUAAGGGCCAAAGCGUGAGCUUCAUUUUCAGCGCAAAGCCAUCGCUAACCCUUUCUCUUCCACUCUUCCCCAGUCAUUCUGCUCUCCGGCUCCUCUGUUCUCCGAGCAUGACAAAGCUGCAAAUUAAACCUCCCACUCUGAAAAUGUCACAGCUUAACGUUAUUAGCCUGCAGAAACAGAAUUUGCUAGGUCACUAGGUGCUAGCUACCACUGGAUCUGCCACAGCCACCGCGCCGGGAAACGAGUCCAUACGGCAGUACCGACAGCUCUGAGUCCUGCGUGCGCAGCUCCUAGGGACUUGGCAGGUCGUACCGGGAGGCUUGGGACUGCCUUGGCGUGGCAUGGGCAGGUUGGGCUCCUGCAUUUGCAGCACCCAGGCCUGAUCUGGGACCCAGUGCAUAAGCAGAAGGGUCUCCUGCACAGGGUCCGUGCGGGAUCAGAGUGCCGGGAGGGUACCUGCUUUGCGAUUGCUGCCACUCCUGAUCUCUCUCUUACUUUUAUGAGCAGCCGAGCAAACAGG